UCCUGUUUGUACAGGCAGUCUGUCUAGAGUGCCCGGCAUUACCCGGUAGCAACUAAACACAGGGGUUGCGUUCGUUGCGGGACUUAACCCAACACCUCACGGCACGAACUGACGACAGCCAUGCAGCACCUGUGCAGCACCCUCGAAGGCGGUCCGCCUUUCGACGAACUUGCAGCUGCAUGUCAAGCCCUGGUAAGGUUCUUCGCGUUGCGUCGAAUUAAACCACAUGCUCCGCUGCUUGUGCGGGCCCCCGUCAAUUCCUUUGAGUUUUAACCUUGCGGCCGUACUCCCCAGGCGGUCAACUUAAUGCGUUAGCUGCGCCACUAAGAGCUCAAGGCUCCCAACGGCUAGUUGACAUCGUUUACGGCGUGGACUAC
rnacentral:misc_RNA from 1 species